GUUUUUUCUUUCUGUUGAUAUCAUAAACACGAAAUGCCUUCUCCUACGCGUCUAAAACAAAAAAAAAAAAACAAAAACAGUGUUUUUAAGUCAGGCUGCACACAGAACAACGUACAGAAUGCUGUGAUUUCUAAUUGGAGUUAUUUAGAUAAUUUCUAUGAGGUUUAAGACAGCACAGGCGUGCUUGUUGGAUUCAUUAUAGACCGCAGAAAGUAGUUUCUCUUUCG
rnacentral:lncRNA from 1 species